CAUAAUAAGGAAACGACGAGAAGAGAACGGAGGGAUUUAUUUAUUGCUAAACAAAAAAAGAAAAAUAAAGAAGAAACAACACAACAAAAAACAAAGAAAAUGAUGUAGAGAGAUCUAAAAAUUCACCAUCUACCUUCAUCAAAUAAGUUAUGACCAUAAACAAACACAAAUCUAUUUUAACAACAUAACUAACAAAAAUCAAAUAAAAAAAACUGAAAACGGGAGAAGAGAAUCACAACUAAUUUCUUCUUAUUUGAUGUCUGCAGUACGCUGUUCAUUACAGCCUCCAUCUUCACUGCAACCUUUGUUAUACCGGGAAAGGCAUGUACUUCUUCCCUCUCUUCUUUUUUGCUUUCCUUUUCAAACUUUAUCUUAUAAGAUGUAAAUUUUAUUUUUCUAGAUGAAAACUCUUUUUUUUUAGAGCGACUAAUUUUCGCAUGUAACUCUCCC
rnacentral:lncRNA from 1 species